CCUACGGGAGGCAGCAGUGAGGAAUAUUGGUCAAUGGACGAGAGUCUGAACCAGCCAAGUAGCGUGAAGGAUGACUGCCCUAUGGGUUGUAAACUUCUUUUAUAUGGGAAUAAAAUGUUCCCCGUGUGGGCUUUUGUAUGUACCAUAUGAAUAAGGAUCGGCUAACUCCGUGCCAGCAGCCGCAGUAAUACGGAGGAUCCGAGCGUUAUCCGGAUUUAUUGGGUUUAAAGGGAGCGUAGGUGGAUUGUUAAGUCAGUUGUGAAAGUUUGCGGCUCAACCGUAAAAUUGCAGUUGAAACUGGCAGUCUUGAGUACAGUAGAGGUGGGCGGAAUUCGUGGUGUAGCGGUGAAAUGCUUAGAUAUCACGAAGAACUCCGAUUGCGAAGGCAGCUCACUGGACUGCAACUGACACUGAGGCUCGAAAGUGUGGGUAUCAAACAGGAUUAGAUACCCCAGUAGUC
rnacentral:rRNA from 1 species